CUUCAGUUUUUUUCCAUCACAUCAACCCGUCAUACACACACAACUUUUCAGUCAUAUCAUCUCCAAUUUCAACCAAAACCCAAACUUUGCGCUGAACUAAACACACAGCCUAGGAAGUUUGGAAGUUUGGUUGAAAUUGUUACGAUGUGAUAGAAAAGUUGUGUGUGUAUAAAAGGUUUGAUGUGAUGGAAAGUUGGAAA
rnacentral:misc_RNA from 1 species